GUCUUGGUGUUAGCUUGAGUGCAGUGCAGCCAGAUUGCUAGUCCUGCCCUCCCGCCCUGCCUUUAUUUUUUUAAAGCGAGGGUGGAGGAUAAACUCUGAGGUGGCGCCUUGACGCCUCGAGACGCCGACACCACCAUAACUCAGCUCCAACAGACACACCCCUCUGGGAACACUCUGUGAUGUCAUUGCUGCUCUGAGCCAAUUGCAGAGCUCUGCAGACCGCACAUCUGACUAGUUCCAGAAAAUUUUCCCUCCUCUGAACAAACUGUCACUACAUAAUGUAAAGACAGAAUGGGAGCUGCACACUGAGCUGCAGUCACUUAUUUCACAUGUAAAAUUCAAUGUUGUGGCGCAAAGAUUAUGGACAGACAACGCCUGAACUUAGCUGUGUAGAGGGUGUUUGUGCCCCUGGUGUUGCAGAGUCUGGAUCUGUGACUGCAAACCACCUUGUGUCUCAAGAUCCUGCUCAACCCCCACUGCUUCAAUUAUUAUGAUUAUUAUAUUUAGUCGUCUUCUUCUUUUUCUUCUUAUGACCCUUUUUAUUAUGAUUAUUAGUUUUAUUAUAAGUCUCAUUAUUAUUAUUACACAUCUUUAUGUGGCACCUGCAUUGUGCUAUGCUAUAUUUAUAAAAAUGGAGGACAUUGGUUAAGAGUGAAACAAAACUGUUCAUCUCACUGUUCAUCGAGUUUUUGCAGAUUUUUCACUCCUGCCUCAGCUGUGUAUUAAUGUCUCUUUGUGAUACAUUAUGAUUUCCGUUUGUUUCCUCAGUGGAUUCAGGGGCAUGUAAACCUCUGCCGAGCACCUGAGUUGCUCUUAAUGAAUGAAAACCUUGUAAAAUUAACUUCAUUACAGGGUUUUCAAAUAAAAACGCUUCCCUCAGUUUUGUCUUCAGAGGCCCAGCAGGCAGCAACUUCCCUCCUCAUCAUUCUCCAAUUAAAAGCAGCAGAAUGAGAUUAAAAC